rnacentral:rRNA from 1 species
UACGUAGGGUGCGAGCGUUAAUCGGAAUUACUGGGCGUAAAGCGUGCGCAGGCGGUUCGUUGUGUCGGUGGUGAAAUCCCCGGGCUUAACCUGGGAAUGGCCAUGGAAACUGGCGAACUGGAGUGCGGCAGAGGGGGGUGGAAUUCCGCGUGUAGCAGUGAAAUGCGUAGAUAUCGGGAGGAACACCAGAGGCGAAGGCGGCGCACUGGACAGCAACUGACACUCAACUGCGAAAGCGUGGGGAGCAAACAGG